rnacentral:rRNA from 1 species
GUAGUUAGCCGGAGCUUCCUCGUAGGGUACCGUCAUCUACUCGUCCCCUACAACAGAGGUUUACGAUCCGAAAACCUUCUUCCCUCACGCGGCGUUGCUGGGUCAGGCUUUCGCCCAUUGCCCAAUAUUCCCCACUGCUGCCUCCCGUAGGAGUCUGGACCGUUUCUCAGUUCCAAUGUGGCCGGUCAUCCUCUCAGAUCGGCUACCCAUCGUUGACUUGGUGGGCCGUUACCUCACCAACUAUCUAAUGGGACGCGAGCUCACCCUUCCGCGGAUUUCUCCUUUGACCCCUUCGGCAUGCGCCUUCGUGGUCUUAUGCGGUAUUAGCAACCGUUUCCGGUUGUUAUCCCCCUCUACUGGGCAGGUUGUUCACGCGUUACUCACCCGUUCGCCACUAAGUUAUCAACCGAAAUCAAUAACUCCGUUCGACUUGCAUGUGUUAGGCACGCCGCCAGCGUUCGUCCUGAGCCAGAAUCAAACUCUGA